ACUCCUACGGGAGGCAGCAGUGGGGAAUAUUGCUCAAUGGGCGCAAGCCUGAAGCAGCGACGCCGCGUGAGGGAUGAAGGCCUUCGGGUUGUAAACCUCUUUCAGCUCCGAAGAAGCGAAAGUGACGGUAGGAGCAAAAGAAGCACCGGCUAACUACGUGCCAGCAGCCGCGGUAAUACGUAGGGUGCAAGCGUUGUCCGGAUUUAUUGGGCGUAAAGAGCUCGUAGGCGGUCUGUCGCGUCUGCUGUGAAAACUCGGGGCUUAACCCCGGGCCUGCAGUGGGUACGGGCAGACUAGAGUGCGGUAGGGGAGACUGGAAUUCCUGGUGUAGCGGUGAAAUGCGCAGAUAUCAGGAGGAACACCGGUGGCGAAGGCGGGUCUCUGGGCCGUAACUGACGCUGAGGAGCGAAAGCAUGGGUAGCGAACAGGAUUAGAUACCCUGGUAGUCCAUGCCGUAAACGUUGGGCGCUAGGUGUGGGGCUCAUUCCACGAGUUCCGUGCCGCAGCAAACGCAUUAAGCGCCCCGCCUGGGGAGUACGGCCGCAAGGCUAAAACUCAAAGGAAUUGACGGGGCCCCGCACAAGCGGCGGAGCAUGCGGAUUAAUUCGAUGCAACGCGAAGAACCUUACCAAGGCUUGACAUGCAGGGAAAUCUCACAGAGAUGUGAGGUCCGCAAGGGUCCUGCGCAGGUGGUGCAUGGUUGUCGUCAGCUCGUGUCGUGAGAUGUUGGGUUAAGUCCCGCAACGAGCGCAACCCUCGUUCUAUGUUGCCAGCGGAUAAUGCCGGGGACUCAUAGGAGACUGCCGGGGUCAACUCGGAGGAAGGUGGGGAUGACGUCAAAUCAUCAUGCCCCUUAUGUCUUGGGCUUCACGCAUGCUACAAUGGCCAGUACAAAGGGCUGCGAGACCGUAAGGUGGAGCGAAUCCCAAAAAGCUGGUCUCAGUUCGGAUUGGGGUCUGCAACUCGACCCCAUGAAGUCGGAGUCGCUAGUAAUCGCAGAUCAGCAACGCUGCGGUGAAUACGUUCCCGGGGC
rnacentral:rRNA from 1 species